GGCCGCCCCGCCGGCGCGACGCCUUCGCCUGCGGCCCGUGGCCGGACGACAGCGCGAGCGCGGCCAGCGGCGGCAGCUCCCCAGCAGGCGCCUCCCGGCCAGGCCCCGAGAUCAAAAUCCAGCUGGAGCGGCCCCCGCCGGACACGGGCUCCUAGUCUUCCUCGCCGGGCGCCGCGGGGGGCCGGAGGAAGGCUCGGACCCCCCCCCCUCCGCCUUCUGCUACCACCCCCCCAAGCUCGUCCCCCUGCUCGCGCGCCGUCCCCUCGCCAGGACACGAAGCCAUCGCCGCCGGUGCCGGCCUCCCCCCCGCCGCCGCCGCCGCCUCCGGGCUGCGUUUCGGGGUCCCCCCCCCCCUUCUCCGGCGCGGGACUUCGCCCGGCCCGUGGGCAUCGCCAGACAAUCCCCCCCCCCCCACCCCAGCCCCGGGCCGGCCCCGAAACGGGCGCCGCGGGGCGAAGCAUCCCCGCGCCCGCCCCGCCGCCGCCGCCGCCACGCGUAAGUAUUUAAUUUCGGCCCGUCCGCCUCGCCGGAAGGCGCCGCCGUCCCUCCGCUUUCGCCCCUCGCCCCCCCCCCCGUCCCCUCCUUUAAAGCGGCUCCGGCCGCGCGCCGCGUUUCGGCGUGGUUUUCCGAGCCCGGCCGGGCCGCGUCCGCGUUGCCGGUGAUCGGUGUAUAAAAUAAAGGUCUAUUUAUUGCUAC